rnacentral:rRNA from 1 species
GACGAACGCUGGCGGCGUGCCUAAUACAUGCAAGUCGAGCGAAGUUUUUCUGGUGCUUGCACCGGAAAAACUUAGCGGCGAACGGGUGAGUAACACGUAAAGAACCUGCCUCAUAGACUGGGACAACUAUUGGAAACGAUAGCUAAUACCGGAUAAUAGCAUUAACUGCAUGGUUGAUGUUUAAAAGUUUGUUUUGCUAACACUAUGAGAUGGCUUUGCGGUGCAUUAGCUAGUUGGUGGGGUAAAGGCCUACCAAGGCGACGAUGCAUAGCCGACCUGAGAGGGUGAUCGGCCACACUGGGACUGAGACACGGCCCAGACUCCUACGGGAGGCAGCAGUAGGGAAUCUUCCGCAAUGGGCGAAAGCCUGACGGAGCAACGCCGCGUGAGUGAAGAAGGAUUUCGGUUCGUAAAGCUCUGUUGUUAGGGAAGAAUGAUUGUGUAGUAACGAUACACAGUAGAGACGGUACCUAACCAGAAAGCCACGGCUAACUACGUG